rnacentral:rRNA from 1 species
ACGGAAGGCAGCAGUGGGGAAUAUUGCACAAUGGGGGAAACCCUGAUGCAGCAACGCCGCGUGAAGGAUGAAGGUCUUUGGAUCGUAAACUUCUGUCCUUGGGGAAGAAAAAGAUGACGGUACCCUUGGAGGAAGCCCCGGCUAACUCCGUGCCAGCAGCCGCGGUAAUACGGAGGGGGCAAGCGUUAUCCGGAAUUAUUGGGCGUAAAGGGUGCGUAGGCGGUUUGCUAAGCGCGAGGUUUAAGGCACUGGCUUAACCAGUGUUCGCCUUGCGAACUGGCAGACUUGAGUGCAGGAGAGGAAAGCGGAAUUCCUAGUGUAGCGGUGAAAUGCGUAGAUAUUAGGAGGAACACCGGUGGCGAAGGCGGCUUUCUGGACUGUAACUGACGCUGAGGCACGAAAGCGUGGGGAGCAAACAGGAUUAGAUACCCUGGUA